rnacentral:rRNA from 1 species
UACGUAGGCAGCAAGCGUUGUUCGGAGUUACUGGGCGUAAAGGGUGUGUAGGCGGUUGGUAUAAGAGUGGGUGUGAAAAUCCGUCCCGGCUUAACGUGGGAGGUGCGCUACAGAACUGUCUGACUAGAGGUGUGGGAUGGGAGAGUGGAAUUCCUGGUGAUAGCGGUGAAAUGCGUGAGAUAUCAGGAGGAACACCGGUCGGUGGUAGACGGCUCUCUGGACCAUAAACUGACGCUGGAGAACACGAAAGCGUGGGUAGCAAACAGG